rnacentral:rRNA from 1 species
UAAUCUACCCUUGAUGGGGGAUAACUGACCGAAAGGUGAGCUAAUCCCGCAUAACGUUACUUUUCAUAAGUAAAGUACCAAAGGGGGGAUCCUUCGGGACCUCUCGCUUGAGGAUGAGCUUAUGUCCUAUUAGCUUGUUGGUGGGGUAAAAGCCCACCAAGGCUGUGAUGGGUAGCCGAGCUGAGAGGCUGAUCGGCCACACUGGAACUGAGACACGGUCCAG